rnacentral:rRNA from 1 species
GACGAACGCUGGCGGCGUGCUUAACACAUGCAAGUCGAACGGAAAGGCCCCAGCUUGCUGGGGUGCUCGAGUGGCGAACGGGUGAGUAACACGUGGGUGAUCUGCCCUGCACUCUGGGAUAAGCCUGGGAAACUGGGUCUAAUACCGGAUAGGACCGUGCGCUAGUGUGUGCGGUGGAGAGAUUUUCGGUGCAGGAUGAGCCCGCGGCCUCUCAGCUUGUUGGUGGGGUAAUGGCCUACCAAGGCGGCGACGGGUAGCCGGCCUGAGAGGGUGUACGGCCACAUUGGGACUGAGACACGGCCCAGACUCCUACGGGAGGCAGCAGUGGGGAAUAUUGCACAAUGGGCGCAAGCCUGAUGCAGCGACGCCGCGUGGGGGAUGACGGCCUUCGGGUUGUAAACCCCUUUCGGCAGGGACGAAGCUUUUGUGACGGUACCUGCAUAAGAAGCACCGGCUAACUACGUG